GCCUGGGUGGCUCAGUUGGUGGAGCACGCGACUCCUGGUCUUGGGUUGUGGGUUCGAGCCCCAUGUUGGGUG
rnacentral:tRNA from 1 species